ACUGCCUUAGCUCAGCUGGUAGGGCGUCGGAGUACAAAUCCGAAGAUGGUGGGUUCAAAUCCUGCACGCGCUU
rnacentral:tRNA from 1 species